AAAGCAACUUCAGCCCAGCUCCUUUUGAAACCAGAAACCUGUUCCUUCAGUCCAGACAGGAUCUGAGUCUGGGCCAGCAGGAAUCUUUUACUAGCUGCUGCCUUUGUGCUUUGGAGCCCUGCAGAAGGCGUAUGUGUCUACACAUCACGUGAGGGUUGGAAUGAUGGUCUGAUGUGUAUGAAGCCGAGCUACGUUUCAGAAAGGAGGGAUUCCUCAGACUGGUUGAUGUUGGCAGCUGGGUUAUCAUGAUGCCUGGAGAAAGUACUUCUGCAGUGUUCUUCAUAUAAGCAAGAGCUGUUAGCACUGAAAAUCCUCCCCAACAUGGAUACUCCUGAGCUGUGAUCCAGUUUCUGCGUGGCAUUAACCAUCACCACACUUGACUCUUCCCGGAUGAGGAGCUAUUUUAUACCUUCCAGCUGAAAAGACACCCAACUUAGGUGAGUACACACCUGCAGUCUCAGCCUGAGCAAGGCAUUUAAAGAUAUUCUUGGCUUAAACUGGGUCUAGGAGUGGGUGAAACUUGGCACUAAGAUGGCACAUGAAGUGAAUGACCUGCGAGAAAGUGUUUUACAAACAGGGAGGGUAUCAACUUGGAGCUGCAUUUUUAUGUGGUGAUAGGGCAGCUCUCUGACCUCCUCACCUAAUUUGCAAGUAAUCUUGUCAGGACAAAGAAUCCACGCUGAGCCUGUGCUGUUGAGACUAGGUGGUUAUCAGGACCUGCACUAGGGAACUUGAAGGUAGUUCUCGUCUCUCUGUGGUAUAGAGGAGUCACUAUGGUACUGACUGCACUGCAGAGAUAUGCUUUUGUAUUAAACAAAAUACACACCAAAACCCCUCUUCUACAGCACCAUGGAAUUAAUGGUCUUCCUAGCUGGUUUCUUUCAGGCCAUUUGUGCUACAGGGGUGAGUGUUGAAGAUAAAGAUUGAAUCUGCAGCUCUGAACACCACGGAUUGCUUAAUUCAUCUUAAUAGAGGUAUUCGCU